ACUGCGAAACUGAUGUUUGUGGUUUUGUAGUCCACUCUGUUGGAUAGGAUCCGAGAGAAACAGAGUGGAGAUCCGUACUUGUCGAGGAUUCGAGAGCAGCUAGACCGGAGACAGGCUGAGGGCUUUUCUGUGGACAGUUCGGGAGUACUGCGGUACAGGGACCGACUGUGUGUGCCUGCGGAUUCAGGAAUCCGAGAGUACAUUUUGAGAGAGG
rnacentral:lncRNA from 1 species